CCUAUCCCGUGCCUCAAAAUCUCAGAUCUACCUUCCACAGAAAAAAUUAUCUCAGAUCUACCUCCCUCUUCUGCCUCUCAUCGCUUGUUAAGAGCGACGACCACCACCGUCGUCUUCGUCUGUCAACGCAACACUAUCAGUCUUCGAAGUCGGAGCUCGCCGCCGCCGCCGCCGCUUCAGCUACUGAGUCCGCUGCUUCGGCUUCCACGAGAUCUGGUUCUGCAGCGUGAGUCCGACACCGAUUCGGCAGCCUGACCGUCCGUCGUCGUCUGACCCCAGCCUACCGUCCGUCACCAUCGCAGCUUGCCACAUAUUCCGUCGCCGUUGUCGCUCCAUCGGGAUUUGAUGUAUACCUGAUAAUGCCCAGCAUCCAACGGCCCAUUCUAACAUAUCAUUCUAAAGUUGCUGAUCCAGGAAGUGAUUAAAUUUGUCCUCUUCGUUUUACCCCUCUAUGAUCAAAUAUCAUCUUCUUCGAUUCCUGGUAAUCUCCACUAUACUUCAAUCUCCAUCAUCAGAUGCUACCUUCGAUUCACCGCACAUACCAGUUGAAAUCUUCUCCAGGCUAAAAAAGGUGGCUAAUUACUCUCGUGUGCUUCGACGAUAGCUCCGACCACCGAUUGUCAAAGAAAUGAUUCACAAUUUUAGGAUUCUCUGGUGGUUCAAUGAUGGGCUAGUAUGAAGAUUCAUGGGCUUUCGAAGCAAUUUCAAGUUUCAGGUUCUCGAUGUGGCUCUCUCUACUCUUCAAUCACUCGGAAAUUCGAUAAUUUACCCUUUUGUAGAAAUCGAUUUUAUGAUUCUACCUAUGAUCUUGAAUAUUUUUUGGGGUUAAUCUUUCAUUUUGAAUGUUGAACUUCUGCUUUCUCAUCGAAGGGUAAAUUAGCAUAAUACGUUUAUCAAUAGACUUUGUUGUUAUAAUGCAAAAAAUAAGCUUGUUUUCAGAUAUAUCAUUGAUUUUCA